ACACAUGCUCCCCCACACUGGUUCCCUUAAAAUAGUUCCAGAAGAAAAAAAAUUUUUUUUUCUCCCCCUCAAGAAAGGAAAGAGAAAGUCCAACCGCCACGGCAAUACUUUUAAGCUCUACUUAAAUGAUCGUAUCCUUUCUGGCUUCGAAACUUUUGUACCUAAAAAUCGAGAGAGGCGCUGCAUUUUUUUUUUUUCCCCCACAGCGGAAAACUGUCAAAACUUGGAGAAAGGGGAACCUCCGAGGCAGGCAGGAGAGGAGGAGAAUCCCGAGACUCCGUGGGGUUGGGAAGAUGCGGUGCCUCGAGGAUUAGUUUAAACAGGGGGCUAUAAAAGAUGUAACAGAUGCAAACUGUAACACAGGGCCAUUAACCCCUUCUCUGCCGGGCACACUCCGUCCCCCACGCCCGCACCUAUUGUCUCCCGCGCUGGAAGCUUUGCGGAAAACCUGGAAAUUUUGGCCAGAAAUGGUGAGAAGAAAAAGCAUGAAGAAGCCGCGGAGUGUGGGGGAGAAAAAGGUGGAAGCGCAGAAACAGCUCCCGGAGCAAACUGUACAAAACCUCGCCAAGAGUGUGGGGAGGCAGGACCGUUAUUCCUGCGGAGCAGGUUAGAACUGAUCUCUUUUAGCCACUCCAGGAAACACAAACCUGGGGACGGACUGACGUGUUACGCCUCUUCUAAUGACAUUUUUUUCUUUUUCUUUUCUGUAGGAGAGAGAGAGACCCUGAAACACGCGCCACCUAUCUUUGUGGGGAGGGAUAA